rnacentral:rRNA from 1 species
UGGGGAAUUUUGGACAAUGGGCGAAAGCCUGAUCCAGCCAUGCCGCGUGAGUGAAGAAGUCCUUCGGGUUGUAAAGCUCUUUUAGUCGGAAAGAAAGAGUCGCAAUGAAUAAUUGUGAUUUAUGACGGUACCGACAGAAAAAGCACCGGCUAACUACGUGCCAGCAGCCGCGGUAAUACGUAGGUUGCGAGCGUUAAUCGGAAUUACUGGGCGUAAAGGGUGCGCAGGCGGUUUUGGAAGUCAGAUGUGAAAGCCACGGGCUUAACCUGGGAGUUGCGUUUGAAACUACAAGGCUAGAGUGCAGCAGAGGGGAGUGGAAUUCCAUGUGUAGCAGUGAAAUGCGUAGAGAUGUGGAAGAACACCGAUGGCGAAGGCAGCUCCCUGGGUUGACACUGACGCUCAUGCACGAAAGCGUGGGGAGCAAACA